CAUGGUUACAAUCAUGUUAAUUGAAAGGUGUGUUCACACCCAUAAAUCUCAAUAGUGUUUUUACCACACAGAACAAGAUUUCACCCAAGUCAUAACAAUGCUGUCAGUUUAAGAAUAAAUCUCUCUCAUACUAUCAGUAUGGUAUAUAAGCCAAAGUACAUAAAACUUUGACAUUUUCACUAUAUAGAACAGCUUAAUGCUUUUAGCUGAAAAUAGCAGCACAGAGUGGACUUUUCAGACUAUUGUGACUUGGAACAUUUAAAAAAAUAGAAAAGGGUAACUGGUUAGGAACUGACUCCAAAUCCAACAGAUUAUCUCUAGAUGGUUGAAUGUUCAUCUCUAGUACACAAAAAUGGGACACUUAUCUUCUGACAUUUUUCUUACUGAUACUUCAAAGAUCACUUCAGGAGUUGCUCAUAAGGAACUGGCAACUCAAGAGCAAGAGCUGCUGUACUACAGAUAAUGGGCCACAGGGAAUUCAAACAACAACAAAGCAAAACGGAGCCAGAAAAAGAAGAAAAAAAUUAUUUUUCUUUUAACUCUUAACACAAGAGAAAUAUAAAAAAGUG